UGCCAGCCGCCGCGGUAAUACAUAGGGGGCAGGCGUUGUCCGGAUUUACUGGGUGUAAAGGGCGCGUAGGCGGGUUUGUAAGUCAGAGGUGAAAUCCUGCGGCUCAACCCUGGAACUGCCUUUGAUACUGCUAGUCUUGAGUUCGAGAGAGGUAAGUGGAAUUCCGAGUGUAGAGGUGAAAUUCGUAGAUAUUCGGAGGAACACCAGUGGCGAAGGCGACUUACUGGCUCGAUACUGACGCUGAGAUGCGAAAGCGUGGGGAGCAAACAGGAUUAGAUA
rnacentral:rRNA from 1 species